ACUCAAAGGAAUUGACGGGGGCCCGCACAAGCGGUGGAGCAUGUGGUUUAAUUCGAAGCAACGCGAAGAACCUUACCAAGGCUUGACAUCCCCCUGAGAUACGCAGAGAUGUGUAUGGCCCUUCGGGGACAGGGGAGACAGGUGGUGCAUGGUUGUCGUCAGCUCGUGUCGUGAGAUGUUGGGUUAAGUCCCGCAACGAGCGCAACCCUUAUGUUCAGUAGCCAGCGGGUAGAGCCGGGCACACUGGAGAGACUGCCGUGGAUAACACGGAGGAAGGUGGGGACGACGUCAAAUCAUCAUGCCCCUUAUGUCUUGGGCAACACACGUGCUACAAUGGCUCAAACAGAGUGAAGCAAAGCAGUGAUGCCGAGCGAAACACGAAAAAGAGUCCCAGUUCGGAUUGCAGUCUGCAACUCGACUGCAUGAAGUUGGAAUCGCUAGUAAUCGCGAAUCAGCAUGUCGCGGUGAAUACGUUCCCGGGCCUUGCACACACCGCCCGU
rnacentral:rRNA from 1 species